GGGAGUAUAAGAUCAGCGGUCAAUCUGCUAGGCUCUUAACCUAUGCAACGGGGGUUCGAAUCCCUCUGCUCCCA
rnacentral:tRNA from 1 species